AUGGCGGCGUCUGUGCCUCCUGCCUGGGCUCUAAUUGGCAAGAUCUUGAGGGGAGCACGGGGAGGCGGGCUCUAUGAGCCCUGAAAGGCGCCUGCUUGCUUAAUUGUUGCUCGGUUUGUAAUUUCAGAAGCCAGGUGGGAGGCCUAGGAAUUAAGACGAAAAAAGGCCAGGGAACAUUAGCUAGCAGGAGGCUGGAGUUGAGUCACAGGCCAAAUGCACCUGCACAGUCUAAGCAAGACGGUUUAGACGACUCCAUGUGUCAUCUUUUUCAUUCUUGCAGUUUUCUGGCCUUUUCUGGAAGAGGUUGGAGUCUCACUUCAAGAAAAUUAGUGGUUUGAAAUAACCGACGAUGGAUGUCUGCGGAUUUUUUUUUUUUUUUUUUUUUUUUUUUUUUUGGUACUGGAUCAAACGCUUGACCUUGCACUUGCCAGGCAGGUGCUUAUGUCACUGAGCUAAAUCCUUAGACCCAUAUCUAUGGAUUUUUAAGAAGGGUGACAUUUCUUUGCCCUGGAGUUUCAGUUGGGUCGAUUUCUAAUUUCAGAUCACCUAGCAUUAAACUGGAAAUCAGCAACAAGUGGAGAGAUCUCACAUACUUGGAGGUUAAACAACACACCUUAAAAUAAGUUAAAGAAGAAUCUCAAGAGAAAUUUUAAAACAUUUUGAAUUAAAUGAAAGUACAAUUUACCAAAUUUUAUAGGAUGUAGUGAAGUAGCACUUAGAGGAAAUUUUAUGACAUUAAGUGUAUAUUCUAGAAAAGAAAGAUCUAAAACUAGUAACCUAUAAUCUUUCACUUUAGGAAGCUAGAUAAAAGCAAAUCUGAAGUAAGAGAAAAGGUGUGGUAAAAACUACAGCAGCUACAAAUGAAAUUGAAGACAAAAUCAAUAGAAAAAUCAAAAGACCAAAAACUGCUUCUCUGAAAAAUUUUAAAAUUGCUAAGCUUCUAACCUGCCACAGAGGGAGAAGGGUAGGAGGAUACAAUCUGAUUGGCCUUUAUCUAUUAAAGAUAUUGAAUAAAUAAUAAAAAAUCCAAAAAGAAAGAUCCAGUGAAUCCUAAUGGGUUCACUGAUGAAUGCUAUUAAACUUCUGAGGCCCUUUCAGAAAGCAGAAAUGGAGGAAAUCCUUUCUAUGUUAGCCUAUGAGGCCAGCAUUACACUAAUACCAAACCCAAGCAGAAACACUGCAUGAAAAGCAAAA